UGACGCUCCAUGAAAGAAGUGGCAGUUUAGCCCUCGACUUCAGCAGCUGCACAAGGACUUUUGUUCCAGGCAGUUGUCCCCCCCGGAAUGCAGUGCCGCGGAAGCGCAUUGGGUGCAUUCUCAUUUGUCACACAGAGUAUUAAGAAGACAUGUCCUCGAGGGUUGCCAUUGAACAAAAUGAUGAAUUUUGCUGCUUUAUCAAGAGGAUUUUAAAGCAAAACUGACACUUUUUGAUUUUUAAAAGAAUUUUAGAACUUGUAUUUUCUUUGUGUAUCAUUUAUUACUGUGAGUGCGUGUGGUAGUACAGGUGACAAUGACUCCUAGUACAGUUUGGCAAGAACACCGCACUCCACUGUUUCUGAUGUGUCAGAUUGAUUUCCGUCCACAUUACUAGGAUUCCUUCUUUCUCUUCUUUUUCUUCUCUUCUAGCAAGGAAAUUUCAACAGUUCCCUUGGCUCAGAUGGGUACAUGCUCUCGGCCCUGACCUGUGGGAUGGCUCCAGUAACUUCUAUUACUGAGGGGCUCCAGCAGGUGGUCACCAUGGGCCUUUUCCGCACUAUUGCUUUGUUUUACCUUGGAAGUUUUGACAGCAUAGUUCGUCGCUGCAUGAUGCAGAGAGAAAAAUCUGAAAAUGCAGACAAAACUGCCUAAUCUUCUUACCCCUUGGAAGAAGACUGUUUCCAAAUAAUUUGAACAGCUUGCUGCUAAAUGGGACCCAAUUUUUGGCCUAUAGACACUUAUAUAUUGUUUUCGAAUAUGUCAGAUUGGACCAGUGCUCUUCAGAAAUGUAGCUGCAAGCAAGGGGCUAGAAGUUCACCUCCUGACAAUAUUAUUAAUACUAUGCAAAUAUGGAAUAGGAGACCAUUUGAUUUUUCUAGGCUUUGUGGUAGAGAGGUGAAGGUAUGAGAAUUAAUAGCAUGUGAACAAGGCAAAGAACAGGAUUCCAGAAUGAUCAUUAAAUUUUUUUCUAUUUAUUCCUUUUUGCCCCCCUAGAGAUUAAGUCCAGAAAUGUACUUUCUGGCACAUAAAG
rnacentral:sRNA from 1 species